UACGUAGGGGGCAAGCGUUGUUCGGAUUUACUGGGCGUAAAGGGCGCGUAGGCGGCGCGACAAGUCACUUGUGAAAUCUCCGGGCUUAACUCGGAGCGGCCAAGUGAUACUGUCGUGCUAGAGUGCGGAAGGGGCAACUGGAAUUCUCGGUGUAGCGGUGAAAUGCGUAGAUAUCUGCAGGAACACCCGUGGCGAAAGCGGCGCGCUGGACCACUACUGACGCUGAGGAACGAAAGCUAGGGGAGCAAACAGG
rnacentral:rRNA from 1 species